GGCAGGGAGGGUUUCCCUGCGCGCGGACGCUGCAGGAGUCACGCGUGCGACAUCCAACCAGGAGCAGUGCCCUGAGCACGCCAGGAAGGAGACGGGGCCGCUGAAAGCACACCGCGGCGGUGUGGGGAACGGCCUCAGCCACCUAAGGAGUUUGACUCUUCAUCAACAAUAAUUUGGCACCCAAUGUGGGGCCUCAGAGAAGACUCAGGACCCCAAAGGAGUUGCCUGAACUCAGAGCUAAGAUACCAGUGGGGCCCACUGAAGUUUCCCAGACUUCUAGCUUCUCCCCUACUGGAACUGGUGUCUGGCUCUCCCAGGCCAAGCAGCACCGUCAUGCCCAGGUGACCGCAAAUUCCAGGCCCACCCAGGAAUACCCACGGGUGAAGCAGAGAGACGCGGAGAGACAGAGCCCUGAGACCUGCUGCACUGAGGUCAAUCCUGCCUGACCUCACUGAAAUUCAAUCCUGCCUGACUUAGGAAUAAUCAAGAGACCGGGAAUUUUCUCACUCUAGUUUUUAGAGAAAUAGAAAAUUUCAAAAAACGUUACAAAGUUAUUUAACUAAUAAAAUAUUCAGUAUUUUUCAUA